UACAGAGGUGGCAAGCGUUGUUCGGAAUUACUGGGCGUAAAGGGCGCGUAGGCGGUCCGAUAAGUCCCGUGUGAAAGCCCCCGGCUCAACUGGGGAACUGCACGGGAAACUGACGGACUUGAGUUCGGGAGAGGGAAGCGGAAUUCCGGGUGUAACGGUGAAAUGCGUAGAUAUCCGGAGGAACACCGGUGGCGAAGGCGGCUUCCUGGACCGACACUGACGCUGAGGCGCGAAAGCUAGGGGAGCAAACGGG
rnacentral:rRNA from 1 species